GAUGAACGCUGGCGGCGUGCCUAAUACAUGCAAGUCGAGCGAACGGACGAGAAGCUUGCUUCUCUGACGUUAGCGGCGGACGGGUGAGUAACACGUGGAUAACCUACCUAUAAGACUGGGAUAACUUCGGGAAACCGGAGCUAAUACCGGAUAAUAUUUUGAACCGCAUGGUUCAAUAGUGAAAGACGGUUUUGCUGUCACUUAUAGAUGGAUCCGCGCUGCAUUAGCUAGUUGGUAAGGUAACGGCUUACCAAGGCAACGAUGCAUAGCCGACCUGAGAGGGUGAUCGGCCACACUGGAACUGAGACACGGUCCAGACUCCUACGGGAGGCAGCAGUAGGGAAUCUUCCGCAAUGGGCGAAAGCCUGACGGAGCAACGCCGCGUGAGUGAUGAAGGUCUUCGGAUCGUAAAACUCUGUUAUUAGGGAAGAACAUAUGUGUAAGUAACUGUGCACAUCUUGACGGUACCUAAUCAGAAAGCCACGGCUAACUACGUG
rnacentral:rRNA from 1 species